rnacentral:rRNA from 1 species
UACGGGAGGCAGCAGUGGGGAAUAUUGGACAAUGGGCGAAAGCCUGAUCCAGCCAUGCCGCGUGUGUGAAGAAGGUCUUCGGAUUGUAAAGCACUUUAAGUUGGGAGGAAGGGCAUUAACCUAAUACGUUAGUGUUUUGACGUUACCGACAGAAUAAGCACCGGCUAACUUCGUGCCAGCAGCCGCGGUAAUACGAAGGGUGCAAGCGUUAAUCGGAAUUACUGGGCGUAAAGCGCGCGUAGGUGGUUUUGUUAAGUUGAAUGUGAAAGCCCCGGGCUCAACCUGGGAACUGCAUCCAAAACUGGCAAGCUAGAGUAUGGCAGAGGGUGGUGGAAUUUUCCUGUGUAGCGGUGAAAUGCGUAGAUAUAGGAAGGAACACCAGUGGCGAAGGCGACCACCUGGGCUAAUACUGACACUGAGGUGCGAAAGCGUGGGGAGCAAACAGGGAUUAGAUACC